rnacentral:lncRNA from 1 species
AUGGAACCUUAGUGGGGAUCUCUGCAUGUGGUUUGGCUAUAUGGCUGAGUGGCUUGGGGUGGCUGAGCGAACCGGUGGCGGUGCUGUGCUGGGCGGCUACGGCUCCACAUGCUCCCGACCGCCGGUUGAGACCGUUGGCGGGGUCGACUGAAAGGAUUGUAGAAGAGUUGGAGUCAUCAUUGAAUGACGUUUCCUGUGCACCAGUCUCAUCUCCAUAUAACACAGAUAAUGACUUCUUAUGUUAAAGGCUCCAGGAAGAGAAAGAAGGGAUGGUGCUGGAGCAGUUCUCACGAAGAUGAGUGGACCAGAGUGAAAACAGCUAUCAUGGAAAAAAUUGUAGAUUUCAUUUCUUGUGAUUCUAGAUGUGAGAAAAUUGCUCCCUUUGAGCAGUUUCUAGCCAGUGUCAUCAAUGGUGGGACCACAGUAAAGACCUUUCACUACUGA